AGGUGUAGCGGUGAAAUGCGUAGAGAUCUGGAGGAAUACCGGUGGCGAAGGCGGCCCCCUGGACAAAGACUGACGCUCAGGUGCGAAAGCGUGGGGAGCAAACAGGAUUAGAUACCCUGGUAGUCCACGCCGUAAACGAUGUCUACUUGGAGGCUGUGCCCUUGAGGUGUGGCUUCCGGAGCUAACGCGUUAAGUAGACCGCCUGGGGAGUACGGCCGCAAGGUUAAAACUCAAAUGAAUUGACGGGGGCCCGCACAAGCGGUGGAGCAUGUGGUUUAAUUCGAUGCAACGCGAAGAACCUUACCUGGUCUUGACAUCCACAGAAGUUUGCAGAGAUGCGAAUGUGCCUUCGGGAACUGUGAGACAGGUGCUGCAUGGCUGUCGUCAGCUCGUGUUGUGAAAUGUUGGGUUAAGUCCCGCAACGAGCGCAACCCUUAUCCUUUGUUGCCAGCGAUUAGGUCGGGAACUCAAAGGAGACUGCCAGUGA
rnacentral:rRNA from 1 species